AUGUGAGACCAGUGUGGCAGAGUAUGAUGUGUACACAAUGAGGGACACACUGUAGCCAACCCAGUAGAUUACCCGUGCUGCAGUGCUGAUUGGCACCUCUGGAGUCGCUCGAUGAAGAAGAGGAUGCUGGCGAGGCCUGUCGUGUUAGCCGGGAUCAGCGCCGGUACAGAGCUGUGUCCGUUGGGGUUGUGGAGGCAAGCAUCUUCUUGGCAAGGUCCUCGUAGGUGGCCGCAAACAGUUUACUGGCUGUGGGAUGAGAACUUGUCUUGUGAAUGUGACGUUGGGAGGAGGGAAGCACAGGGGAAAGGGAGGACGAGGAGGAAGAGAGUUAAGAGUCACAAGAGGAGGAGGAAGGUGGAAAGAAAGAGGAAGGAGAGA